UUUAGUAGCGUGCAAUGGGCCCGAAACCGGGUGACCUACCCAUGAUCAGGCUGAAGUGAAAGUAAAAUUUCAUGGAGGGCCGAACCGACCUCCGUUGAAAAGGCGGCGGAUGAAUUGUGGGUAGCGGAGAAAUUCCAAUCGAACUCGGAGAUAGCUGGUUCUCCCCGAAAUAGCUUUAGGGCUAGCCUCGUGACAGAUUACCGGAGGUAAAGCACUGAAUGGCCUAGCGUCCGAGAGGAUAGCGAAGCCUAUCAAACUAAGAAUGCCGGAUAAUCGAUUCACGGGAGUCAGACAGUGUGAGAUAAAUCUCAUUGUCAAAAGGGAAACAGCCCAGAUCUACAGCUAAGGUCCCCAAGCAGGUUUAAGUGGAAAAGGAUGUGGAGAUACGCAGACAACCAGGAUGUUGGCUCAGAAGCAGCCACUCAUUUAAAGAGUGCGUAAUAGCUCACUGGUCGAGCGUCUCUGCGCCGAGAAUUUAACGGGGCUCAAAACCUGCACCGAAGCUUAGGCAGUAUUUUUAAUACUGGGUAGGGGAGCGUUGUAUGCGCGGUGAAACGAUAGCGUAAGCGGUCGUGGAGUUCAUACAAGUGAGAAUGCCGGAAUGAGUAGCGCGAAUGAGGUGAGAAUCCUCAUGGCCGAAAGCCUCAGGUUUUUGGAGGAAGGUUCGUCCGCUCCAAGUUAGUCGGGAGCUAAGGUGAGGCCUAACGGCGUAGCCGAUGCACAGACGGUAGAGAUUCCGUCACCACCGAAAGAUUUAAACGCAGGGACACUUUAUGAAGGUCAGAGCCGGGUGUUGGUUCCGGUAGUGAUCGAGGGAAAUAUAGUACCGAAGUCUGGCUGGAAUAGAGGCGAGAAAAGCUGCGCGUAUAUCUAAGGUGCCCGUACCGCAAACCGACACAGGUAGGUAGGAAGAAGAUUCUAAGGCCAACGGGAGAAGGGUUGUUAAGGAACUCGGCAAGUUGACCCCGUAACUUCGGAAUAAGGGGUGCUCACGAGAGUGAGUCGCAGAGAAUAGGCCCAGGCAACUGUUUACCAAAAACACAGGUUUGUGCUAAAUCGAAAGAUGACGUAUACGAGCUGACGCCUGCCCGGUGCUGGAAGGUUAAAAGGAGAUGUGCAAGCAUUGAAUUGAAGCCCCAGUGAACGGCGGCCGUAACUAUAACGGUCCUAAGGUAGCGAAAUUCCUUGUCAGGUAAGUUCUGACCCGCAUGAAAGGCGUAAUGAUCUGGGCACUGUCUCAACAGCCCGCCCGGCGAAAUUGUAGUACCGGUGAAGAUGCCGGUUACCCGCGACAAGACGGAAAGACCCCAUGGAGCUUUACUGUAGCCUAAUAUUGGGUUUCGGUGUUGCAUGCACAGGAUAGAUGGGACGCUGAGAAACUCGGGCUUUGGCCUGAGCGGAGCGGACGUUGGGAUACCAUCCUUGCGACAUUGGAAUUCUAACCUGCGCCCUUGAAUCAGGGCGGGGGACAUUGUUAGGUGGGCAGUUUGACUGGGGCGGUCGCCUCCUAAAGAGUAGCGGAGGCGUUCAAAGGUUGGCUCGGUCUGGACGGAAACCAGACGAAAGAGUGCAAACGCAAAAGCCAGCCUGACUGCGAGACUGACGGGUCGAGCAGAGACGAAAGUCGGAGUUAGUGAUCCGGUGGUAUGUGAGUGGAAAUGCCAUCGCUCAACGGAUAAAAGUUACCCUGGGGAUAACAGGCUGAUCUCCCCCAAGAGUCCACAUCGACGGGGAGGUUUGGCACCUCGAUGUCGGCUCAUCGCAUCCUGGGGCUGUAUUCGGUCCCAAGGGUUUGGCUGUUCGCCAAUUAAAGCGGUACGCGAGCUGGGUUCAGAACGUCGUGAGACAGUUCGGUCCCUAUCUGUCGUGGGCGCAGGAUAUUUGAAGGGUGCUGUCCCUAGUACGAGAGGACCGGGAUGGACGCACCUCUGGUGCACCAGUUGUCACGCCAGUGGCACAGCUGGGCAGCUAUGUGCGGAUCGGAUAAACGCUGAAAGCAUCUAAGCGUGAAGCCGGCCCUGAGAUAAGAUAUCCCACUGAGUCAAUCAGGUAAGACCCCUUGAAGACUACAAGGUUGAUAGGCACAAAGUGUAAGCGGAGUGAUCCGUUCAGCUAGCGUGUACUAAUAGGUCGAGGGCUUGACCCA
rnacentral:rRNA from 1 species